CCAGCACUCACACACACAUCAUCCAGCACUCACACACACAUCAUCCAGCACACACACACACACAUAAUCCAGCACACACACACACACACAUCAUCCAGCACACACACACACACACAUCAUCCAGCACUCGCACACACAUCAUCCAGCACUCGCACACACAUCAUCCAGCACUCACACACACGUCAUCCAGCGCGCACACGCACACACUGCAUUCAUUAU